rnacentral:rRNA from 1 species
GAAACGGUGGCUAAUACCGGGUAUGCCGAAAGGUGAAAGGUUAACUGCCUGGAGAUGAGCUCGCGUCUGAUUAGCUAGUUGGUAGGGUAAAAGCUUACCAAGGCGACGAUCAGUAGCUGGUCUGAGAGGACGAUCAGCCACACUGGGACUGAGACACGGCCCAGACUCCUACGGGAGGCAGCAGUGGGGAAUUUUCCGCAAUGGGCGAAAGCCUGACGGAGCAAUACCGCGUGAGGGAGGAAGGCUCUUGGGUUGUAAACCUCUUUUCUCAGGGAAGAAUAAUGACGGUACUUGAGGAAUAAGCAUCGGCUAACUCCGUGCCAGCAGCCGCGGUAAUACGGAGGAUGCAAGCGUUAUCCGGAAUGAUUGGGCGUAAAGCGUUCGCAGGUGGCAUUGAAAGUCUGCUGUCAAAGAGUCUGGCUCAACCAGAUACAGGCAGUGGAAACUUCAAGCUAGAGUGCGGUAGGGGCAGAGGGAAUUCCUGGUGUAGCGGUGAAAUGCGUAGAGUUCAGGAAGAACACCGGUGGCGAAAGCGCUCUGCUAGGCCGCAACUGACACUGAGGGACGAAAGC